GCCUGGGUGGCUCAGUGGUUGAGCAUCUGCCUUUGGCUCAGGUCAUGAUCCCCGGGUCCUGGGAUCAAGUCCCACAUCGGGCU
rnacentral:tRNA from 1 species